rnacentral:misc_RNA from 1 species
AUUUCUAUAGAGUUUCAAAAGUUAGAAAUACCAAUUGACAUAAUAGUAUGAAUAAAAUUACCCGGUAAUUUAUUUUCACCCACAUCCAGGUUUCGAAAGAAUGUAUCUUUAUUUUUGGCCUCAAUAAGCAUAAACUGUAAAUGGAAGAAAACAUGAAAAUAACAAAUUUGCUGUACUGAUUAUUAUGAAUUUGUUACACUGUUAUAUCUAGUCCCUAGGGCUUCACUAUAACCAAGGUAUACUGUAUUUAUUUACAGAUAUUUUUUGCUCUUUCAGGAACCUUUACAUAAUAUGUAUAUAGAAAUUAAACACACAAGAUUGUUUGUAUAUUGUUGAGAAUUUUAACAAGCAAUGAUUGUAAAUGUAUUUAUUUUUUUAAUAGUAUAUAUACAUGUAUACACUAAUCUCUCAAAAUCUCAAGCAUAAAGAACUCUGGGCCAUUAUAUUCAUUGUUUUUGCUCAUACAUAUACUAGUAUAUGUACCUUUAUUAAUACAAUUCCAUGGACAUUAUGUCGCCAUAUUUUACUACAGACUCAUUUACACACAUACCAGUAAUAUGCACGACACGUAAAUGCAUGUACUAUGGGAUUUCUUAGAGUUCAGUUAACAUGUAUAUCUUAAGCAAAUAAGCAUCAUAAAUUUCGUGACUUGUAAAUGAGCAUUAUUUACCAAGUUUCUGAGUGUUUGACGAGAAAUCCAUGUCUUGAUAAUUUUUUUUCAAUAAAUUUAUCAUAUUAUUGGCAUUUUACUCUGUUGUCUCAGAUCAAGAAAUGUACAUUGUAUAUACUCUGUAAUUUCAUCAAAUCUGAUGUUCUUAUUUGACAUUGGUCAUGUUUUUAAGCUGAUCAUAAAAAAAUUUAUCUAGACCGUUCUGUUACAUCAAUUUUAUGUAUUAAAUUUACUACUCAAUACAAAAGAAGAUACCAAAUGGUUUCAAUAAAUAUUUAAUC